AUAGCGUAUAUUAAAAUUGUUGCGGUUAAAAAGCUCGUAGUUGGAUCUGCGUGGCUCUCGAGCGGUCCGCCGUUGGCUGGUACUGCUUCGAAGCUGCUAAUCAUUCGGUUCAUCCCUUGAUGCUCUUCACUGAGUGUCUUGGGUGUCCGGAACGUUUACUUUGAAAAAAUUAGAGUGCUCAAAGCAGGCUCUAAGCCUGAAUAUUCGUGCAUGGAAUAAUAAAAGAGGUCCUCGUGGCCUUUUGUUGGUUAUCGCUUCGAGGAAAUGAUCGAAGGGGACAGACGGGGGCAUUCGUAUUGCGGCGUUAGAGGUGAAAUUCUUGGAUCGCCGCAAGACGUACAAUUG
rnacentral:rRNA from 1 species